CUUCAUCUAGAACCAGCCGGUUCUUUUCCUGUAGUCACUGUCCUCUCCAGGCCACUCCAUCUCUUAGAGUCCCUGUAGUCUGCCCGCCGCCUGUCCCUGCCAACUGGUCUGCAAACGUCACAGAGCACCGUCCCACUGUGCAUCUGCCCCUUGCUGAAAACCCUCUAUGGCUCCCUGGUGCUGUCCGAAGGGUUUCAGAGCCAGCCGGUGUGGUUUGAGCAUGCUCCCCACCUCACAUGGCCCGUGGCUGAUGCUGCCUAGUGAUUCCUUUCUUGCCAGGAGACGCUGGAGGGCCGAAGAUGGAUGAAGUCAGCGAAAGUUCCACAGUCAAGUUGGAUGACUUAGUUAAGAGACAUGCACCUGAAGAAGCAAGCCCGGGUGGGGUGGGAGAGGCUGUUCUCCGAGGCUGCAAAGCCCAGCGUUGAUGUGGAACUCACGAGAUUCGAAGCUGCCUGCGGUAGCCCGCACCUGUAACUGUGAGAGUCCACGGAAGGAAAAAAACCCUUGAGGCAGUCUCAGGUACUCCAGGCUGACACCAAGCUUGCUGUGGGUUAGGAAUCUGACCUCCUGUAUCCUCCUCCUCCCAGAACCGGGACUACAGGGUAAGUCCUCCAGGACUUGAUGGAAUAUCAUGUGUAUGAUAUUGUGAGGUGGAUGCCUUGUCAUGAUGCCCUGAUGAACCCAGAUAAAGGGAAGCUGAGUUCACGAGACUGGGAGGUUUUUUUAGUUUGGCUGCCUGGACUGUCCUGGGAUUCCAUGGUCCAAUCUGAGCCAAUUCACCUACCUCUUCUCCAAGAGCUCAGAAUGGCUUUAGCACCACAGCCAUCCAAAUCUCCCACUGCCACGUCUUACUGGUCUUUAAUACCCUCCUCCUGACCACACUCUAUUUUUUUUUUGGACAGGGUUUCUCUGUGUAGCCCUGGUUGUCCUGAAACUCACUCUGUAGACCAGGCUGGCCUCCGAAUUGCUGAGAUUAAAGGUGUGUGCCACCACCGCCUGGCCUGACAUCUAUCUUGUGCUGCCCAGACAGACCCCGCCCCUUGCACUAAGCUCCUCCCCACACUUCCUCUGGGCUUCACUGCUGGGUUUAAGUACCACUUAGAACCCACAUGGCCUGUGCUUUUUACCACUGAGGCUUCCCAGAAGGCACACUUGCCCUUCGUGCUGAUCAUUUACAGACAGUCAUGGACUCUGGAAAGGGAGAAACAGUCUGAUUUUGUAUUUCCAGGCCCUGUAGGUCUGGCUUAUGGCCAAGCAGCGUGAACUCUCGGGACAGAUCCCAACAGACGCCUGCACAGCUCUGUGCUCCCAGCUUGCCACAUGUACUAAGGAGCCCAGGAUCCACCUUGCCACUCGUGCCGCCCCUCACCACCAUCUCAGGCACCUCCUGAGCUGUGACAAUUAGUGAGAGAAUGACUGGGGCACGGUACUCCAGCAGCAUGCCCCUGGUUUUCAGUGCAGAUUUUGUGGUGACGAGAGGAUCAUGACAAGACCGACAGGCACCAGAACCACCUCUGCUCAUGAAGAACUCACUGGCGACGCAGCUUCCAAAUGGCCUCACUUCUCAGCUGGACCACAGCUUCUCAAGAGAACCCCAGAAUCACAGACUCUUGGGGACAUGCCUUCAUUCUGCUGGGUGAAUAUUCCUUUGGGAAAUAUUGCUUCUCACCACAGGGAAAACAGCAGGACAGAUGACACAUCAGGAAAUGCCAUUUAGAUUCAAGCACGGUGAAAUUUUGUCAAGCAAAAAUAGUUUUUAUUCAAAUUUAAUGGAAACAGGGGUCACUAUACUUUGCAAGACGGGGAAAAAUAAAAUUAAAAAAAAUCUUUCCUUUUUUAAUAUAAAACAAUAUAAUCACAAUACCAGAAUGUGGAGCUCUACAGUGUUACUUCCUAUGGGCUAUGCAGGGAUCCGUUUCUCUCCACUGUGCUAUUCACAACGUUGGUAAGUCCAGAAACAGGAAACCGAAGUGGUGGGAGACUGAAGACUUGCACUUUCACUACGUGGCACACAUCAGAGGGCAUUGAUUCAAGGGCAAACGGCUGAGCUCACCACACCUACCUACGCCAUCACUCCAGCCUGAGAAGCCGCACAGGUGCCAGCUCCCUGUAGCCGUGGCCAGGCCUGAAAGGCAAGGUGUCUGGAUGUCCUACUGUGAGUAAAGGGAAGUCUGAGGAGCUGCUUUUCAGUAGAGCGGGAAGGCCUGGCGCCUGGAGGCUGACUGAGGAAGCACUGAGAUUGAACAACUGAGACACACCUUUAGGGAGUUAAUGUACAGCAGUGACGGGUGUUCUACUUCACUCUUGUGCUACGGCUACCAACAUGUACAAAACACUUCUCGGCAGUUCCAGAGUGGCGUAGCCAGUUAGGACCUUGAGUGGGACCUGGAUCUGGACCGGGAGGGCGACCUGGAAGCAGACCUGGAUGGAGACUUGGACCGAGAGCGUGUUUUUGACGCUGAUUUUGACCUGGAGCGCGACGACUCUGCCGGGACGUUAGGUUUGGAUUUGGAGGUGGAUCUUGACCUGGCCCGGGGCUCUGGAUUGGAAGCCUCGCUCUCACCCUCUGCCCGGCUUUCCCUCGGGCCAGACUCUGCCUUGGCAUGCUCUCGCUCCUUUGACACUGAGCGGGACGGUGACCGGGAGUGGUCGGUGUCCUUCUUCUUCUUGCUGCUGCUGACUUUGCUGUCCCGCUUGCUGCUAUGUUUUCGGCUGCGCUCACUCUUGCUGCGGCUGCGGCUUCGACUCUCCUCCCUGCUUCUCUUCCUUCCCUUCCGCUUGUCCUUGCUUUUGCUGUGGCUGCGGCUGCGGCUCCGGCUGCCCACUUUGCUGCGGCUGCGGCUGCGGCUCUUGAGAAGGCUCUUCUCCUGGCUGCGAGCCCUGCUCACGCUCCUUCGCCUGUCCUCCUCUGCUCUCCUCUCCUGGCUCCUGCUCCGACUUUUACUGUCAUGGCGGCUAGGGCUGUGGCUCUUGGCUUUGCUGGCGCUGUCGUUGUUCUGGAGCUUGUCCUCUGCAUGGUCUUUACUCUUGCUGCGGUUCUUGUCAGGGCUGCGGCUGCGACUGCGGCUCUUGUUGUCUUUGCUGGGGCUCCGGCUUUUCUCCUUCUUACUGCGACUGCGGCUCUGGCUGCGGCUGCGGCUCUUGCUGCGGGAGUGGGAACCUGACCUGGAAGACAUAGGUGUCGGGUGAGUAACGGGUGACCAGACACUUUCUGUCAGGAAAUGGAGAAAGCACAGGGUGUGGAAGCAGGGGGAGCUGCAGGCCCACCUGGAUCGAGACCGGCUCUUUGAAUGGCUGCUUUUACUGCUACCACUUCGGCUUCUGCUCUUCCGGGAAUGUCUGCUUCGAGAGCGAGACCUGUGGUGGAGAAAACAAAACAAAACAGUUUUGAGACAAGGGCUCAUCAACCUUGGCUAACCUGGAACUUGCUGGCCUGAACUCACAGAAAUUCACCUGCUUCUACCUCUUGAGUCCUGGGAUUAAAGACAUGUAUAACUGCACACAGGUUAGAAAAAAAGGAAAUGUACAACUGCCUGUAAGAGGCUGGAGGUUUGCUCAGUGGUUAAGAGCACUUGUUUUUGGUGAGGACCUGGGUUUAAUCCUAGCACCCACAUGGUGGCUCACAAUCAUCUGUAACUCCAGUUCCAAGGAUCCAACAUCCUCCUCUGAGCUCAGCAGAUAGUAGGCAUGCCUGUGAUAUGGAGACAUGGCUCAGCAGUUACGAGACCACUUGCUGAUCCUGCAGAGGACCCAGGUUUGAUGCCCAGCACCAACAUGGUGCUUCACAGCUGUAACUCCAGUCUCAGGGGAACUGAUACCUCAUCUAGCCUUGGCAGGUAGCAGGUACACACAUAAUACAGAUACACAUGCAGGCAAAACACCCAACCCUAAAUUUUAAUUAUUUAAAAGAUUGUUCAAUUAUAUUUAAAAAGGCUGCCUAGAGCCAACCAAGACAUUCAUUCCUUCAAUGAAA
ensembl:processed_transcript Gm12992 predicted gene 12992